UUAUCCGGAUGAUUGGGCGUAAAGGGUGCGUAGGCGGCCCGUUAAGUCUGGAGUCAAAGCCGGCAGCUCAACUGUCGUACGCUUUGGAAACUGGCGGGCUGGAGUGCAGAAGAGGGCGAUGGAACUCCAUGUGUAGCGGUAAAAUGCGUAGAUAUAUGGAAGAACACCAGUGGCGAAGGCGGUCGCCUGGUCUGCAACUGACGCUGAAGCACGAAAGCGUGGGGAGCAAAUAGGAUUAGAUACCCUAGUAGUCCACGCCGUAAACGAUGAGAACUAAGUGUUGGGGGAAUAACUCAGUGCUGCAGUUAACGCAAUAAGUUCUCCGCCUGGGGAGUAUGCACGCAAGUGUGAAACUCAAAGGAAUUGACGGGGGCCCGCACAAGCGGUGGAGUAUGUGGUUUAAUUC
rnacentral:rRNA from 1 species